AUUGAACGCUGGCGGAGUGCCUAACACAUGCAAGUCGAGCGGCAGCGGACCUUCGGGUGCCGGCGAGCGGCGGACGGCUGAGUAACGCGUGGGAACAUGCCCCAAAGUGAGGAAUAACUGCCCGAAAGGGUAGCUAAUGCCGCAUAUGGUCUUCGGAUUAAAGGAUUUAUCCGCUUUGGGAGUGGCCUGCGUACGAUUAGAUAGUUGGUGAGGUAAUGGCUCACCAAGUCGACGAUCGUUAACUGGUUUGAGAGGAUGAUCAGUCAGACUGGAACUGAGACACGGUCCAGACUCCUACGGGAGGCAGCAGUGAGGAAUCUUCCACAAUGGGCGAAAGCCUGAUGGAGCAACUCCGCGUGCAGGACGAAGGCCUUCGGGUCGUAAACUGCUUUUAUGAGUGAAGAAUAUGACGGUAACUCAUGAAUAAGGUCGGCUAACUACGUGCCAGCCGCCGCAGUAA
rnacentral:rRNA from 1 species